AAAAUAAUGUGUACAUGUCAUCUUAAUAAUCAUGGGUAUGUAUUUGUAUAAACUGUCAACUACAAAUGGUUUGGUUCCUUUGAAAAGGACUGAAAAUAUCUAGAUAGUAAGGUGGACUAUCAAUCUUUACAAAUAGAUAGACAUAUUAUCUGACAAAGAUCAAUGACAUCAGGGACACACAGGCAACUGCGAAGCAUCUCACGGAUCAGCCGAUGAACAGUAGAAGCAAAGACGGCAUCUCCUGCAUCGUCGUAAACAUCCGUUGCUAGUAGAGCUUCAACCUGUGAAUAGGAGGAGCAAAGAUGAUAUCUCCUCCGUCAUCAUAAACCUCCAAAAUUUAUAGUGCAACUUCUCACUAACAUGUCAUGUUGCGGUGUUACCAAAAUUGUAAAAAAAGAACUAGAAUGGGCGGCUGCCAACCUGGCACCGCCCAGCUUCCUCUCAUGAGGCGCCACAAGGUGGCGUCCCAACCCCUAGUUAUCUCUAGCUUUCUACCCCAUUGGCUUUUUAACAUUCAGAAGCCGUUUUCAGUACCGAUUAUUCUAACUUGCAGCCCACAACCCGUCGCAAGUAACCAAAGCUGGGUAGAAAGAAGGCAUCCAAAUAUGGACUGUUAGUGAAAACAAAGAAUCGCAAGCGUAUUUUUGGCUGUUGCAAACCCACAUAUAUGAGGGAAAGAGAGAGGCAACCUAGCAGCUAGCUCAGCCAGCAAUGGUAGCUGUCGCUGCUUCUUGCUCCUCCUGGUCAAUGCUAGUCACUGCUCCUGCCUAAAGCAGCUGCGCAUGCAGCCAACAACAAUUCAGAGAUAUAAGAUGACAGAUAACAGAGAACCAGAAAGCAGGACGACGACACAGAGAAAAACGUUCAGAUUGCAAUUCGUGUAUACCAAGCUAUGCUAUGCAUUUUGGCAUAAGUUAUGGAAUCGCGCACAUAUUUUCUUUCAAAUAAAAGUAGUACUCAAGGUCUGAAUUCAGUUUCAGAGAACAAAGCACGCAUACUGAAGUUCGAUGACAGGUCGACGGAGGUUGUCCCUGCAGGGCACCUUGUCGGACAGCGCUGAACUUGUUGCCGGUGAUGCUAGGCACUGGGGGGACGGCAUGAACAGCAGCAUCGGCGGGGACGGCAUGACGAAGCAUUGUUAAAAGCAUUCAUACAGAAUAUAAUCUUCUAGAUGAUAACAAUAAAAAAUACAAAUGCAAUAAUCCACCAAAUGUAGGAAAGCAUUGUUACACGCCCUCCCCAUGAGUCGUGGGCUCCUGUUGCUUCCGUCGAUCUCAUCAUCCCAAAGUCAAGUAUACUAUCAUAACAUCAAUCAUAUAUGUGUUGGCAUUUUACUGUAC
rnacentral:lncRNA from 1 species